GAUGAACGCUGGCGGCGUGCCUAAUACAUGCAAGUCGAGCGAACGGACGAGAAGCUUGCUUCUCUGAUGUUAGCGGCGGACGGGUGAGUAACACGUGGAUAACCUACCUAUAAGACUGGGAUAACUUCGGGAAACCGUAGCUAAUACCGGAUAAUAUUUUGAACCGCAUGGUUCAAAAGUGAAAGACGGUCUUGCUGUCACUUAUAGGUGGAUCCGCGCUGCAUUAGCUAGUUGGUAAGGUAACGGCUUACCAAGGCAACGAUGCAUAGCCGACCUGAGAGGGUGAUCGGCCACACUGGAACUGAGACACGGUCCAGACUCCUACGGGGGGCAGCAGUAGGGAAUCUUCCGCAAUGGGCGAAAGCCUGACGGAGCAACGCCGCGUGAGUGAUGAAGGUCUUCGGAUCGUAAAACUCUGUUAUUAGGGAAGAACAUAUGUGUAAGUAACUGUGCACAUCUUGACGGUACCUAAUCAGAAAGCCACGGCUAACUACGUG
rnacentral:rRNA from 1 species